GAGUUUGAUCCUGGCUCAGAACGUACGCUGGCGGCACGCCUAACACAUGCAAGUCGAACGAAGUAGCAAUACUUAGUGGCAGACGGGUGAGUAACAUGUAGGUAUCUGCCCUUUGGCCUGGAAUAACACGAGGAAACUUGUGCUAAUACCGGAUAAGUCUUUACGGAGAAAGCUUUAUGCACCAUUGGAUGAGCCUGCACUUGAUUAGUUUGUUGGUGGGGUAAUGGCCUACCAAGACUGUGAUCAAUAGCUGAUUUGAGAGGAUGAUCAGCCACAUUGGGACUGAGACACGGCCCAAACUCCUACGGGAGGCAGCAGUGGGGAAUCUUGCACAAUGGAGGAAACUCUGAUGCAGCGAUGCCGCGUGAGUGAAGAAGGCCUUUGGGUUGUAAAGCUCUUUCGUCGGGGAAGAAAAUGACUGUACCCGAAUAAGAAGGUCCGGCUAACUUCGUGCCAGCAGCCGCGGUAAUACGAAGGGACCUAGCGUAGUUCGGAAUUACUGGGCUUAAAGAGUUCGUAGGUGGUUGAAAAAGUUGGUGGUGAAAUCCCAGAGCUUAACUCUGGAACUGCCAUCAAAACUUUUCAGCUAGAGUAUGAUAGAGGAAAGCAGAAUUUCUAGUGUAGAGGUGAAAUUCGUAGAUAUUAGAAAGAAUACCAAUUGCGAAGGCAGCUUUCUGGAUCAUUACUGACACUGAGGAACGAAAGCAUGGGUAGCGAAGAGGAUUAGAUACCCUCGUAGUCCAUGCCGUAAACGAUGUGUGUUAGACGUUGGAAAUUUAUUUUCAGUGUCGCAGCGAAAGCGAUAAACACACCGCCUGGGGAGUACGACCGCAAGGUUAAAACUCAAAUGAAUUGACGGGGACCCGCACAAGUAGUGGAGCAUGUGGUUUAAUUCGAAGAUACGCGCAGAACCUUACCAACACUUGACAUGUUCGUCGCGACUCUAAGAGAUUAGAGUUUUCGGUUCGGCCGGACGAAACACAGGUGCUGCAUGGCUGUCGUCAGCUCGUGUCGUGAGAUGUUGGGUUAAGUCCCGCAACGAGCGCAACCCUCACUUUUAGUUGCCAUCAUUAAGUUGGGCACUCUGAAAGAACUGCCAGUGAUAAGCUGGAGGAAGGUGGGGAUGACGUCAAGUCCUCAUGGCCCUUACGUGUUGGGCUACACACGUGCUACAAUGGUAUCUACAACAGGAAGCAAAACGGCAACGUUAAGCAAAUCCCUAAAAGAUACCUCAGUUCGGAUUGCACUCUGCAACUCGAGUGCAUGAAGCUGGAAUUACUAGUAAUCGUGGAUCAGCGUGCCACGGUGAAUGCGUUCCCGGGUCUUGUACACACCGCCCGUCACACCAUGGGAGUUGGUUCUACCUUAAGGCAAGGUUUUAAACCCUUGACCACGGUAUAGUCAGCGACUGGGGUGAAGUCGUAACAAGGUAACC
rnacentral:rRNA from 1 species